GACCUCCGCAAUGUGAGAAAUCGCGACGGGGGGAUCCCAAGUGCCAUUCUUAACGGGAUGGCUUUUCAUUAGUGUAAAAAGCUUUUGGAAUAAGAGCUGGGCAAGACCGGUGCCAGCCGCCGCGGUAACACCGGCAGCUCUAGUGGUAGCUGUUUUUAUUGGGCCUAAAGCGUUCGUAGCCGGUUUGAUAAGUCACUGGUGAAAUCCUGUAGCUUAACUGUGGGAAUUGCUGGUGAUACUGUUGAACUUGAGGUCGGGAGAGGUUAGCGGUACUCCCAGGGUAGAGGUGAAAUUCUGUAAUCCUGGGAGGACCACCUGUGGCGAAGGCGGCUAACUGGAACGAACCUGACGGUGAGGGACGAAAGCUAGGGGCGCGAACCGGAUUAGAUACCCGGGUAGUCCUAGCCGUAAACGGUGCGGACUUGGUGUUGGGGUGGCUUUGAGCUGCUCCAGUGCCGAAGGGAAGCUGUUAAGUCCGCCGCCUGGAAGUACGGUCGCAAGACUGAAACUUAAGGAAUU
rnacentral:rRNA from 1 species